rnacentral:tRNA from 1 species
GGUCCUGUGGUGUAAGGGGCAGCAUUCAGGACUCUGAAUCCUGUAAUCUGAGUUCAAAUCUCAGUGGGCCCU